rnacentral:piRNA from 1 species
UGAAGGAGGACUAUUACUGCACCUUA